rnacentral:tRNA from 1 species
GCUCUAUUGGCUCAAUUGGCAGAGCACUCGUCUUGUAGUCGAGAGGUUGAGGGUUCGACUCCUUCAUAGGGCA